UACGGAGGGUGCGAGCGUUGUCCGGAAUCAUUGGGCGUAAAGGGCGCGUAGGUGGCCCGGUAAGCGUGCGGUGAAAGCUUGGGGCUCAACCCCGAGUCGGCCGUGCGAACUGCUGGGCUUGAGCACUGUAGAGGCAGGCGGAAUUCCGGGUGUAGCGGUGGAAUGCGUAGAGAUCCGGAAGAACACCGGUGGCGAAGGCGGGUCUCUGGUCGACAUCUGACGCUGAGACGCGAAAGCGUGGGGAGCGAACGGG
rnacentral:rRNA from 1 species